GAAGAAGGCCUUCGGGUUGUAAAGCACUUUCAGUUGUGAGGAAAAGUUAGUAGUUAAUACCUGCUAGCCGUGACGUUAACAACAGAAGAAGCACCGGCUAACUCCGUGCCAGCAGCCGCGGUAAUACGGAGGGUGCGAGCGUUAAUCGGAAUUACUGGGCGUAAAGCGCACGCAGGCGGUUUGUUAAGCUAGAUGUGAAAGCCCCGGGCUCAACCUGGGAUGGUCAUUUAGAACUGGCAGACUAGAGUCUUGGAGAGGGGAGUGGAAUUCCAGGUGUAGCGGUGAAAUGCGUAGAUAUCUGGAGGAACAUCAGUGGCGAAGGCGACUCCCUGGCCAAAGACUGACGCUCAUGUGCGAAAGUGUGGGUAGCGAACAGGAUUAGAUACCCUGGUAGUCCACACCGUAAACGCUGUCUACUAGCUGUUUGUGACUUUAAGUCGUGAGUAGCGAAGCUAACGCGCUAAGUAGACCGCCUGGGGAGUACGGCCGCAAGGUUAAAACUCAAAUGAAUUGACGGGGGCCCGCACAAGCGGUGGAGCAUGUGGUUUAAUU
rnacentral:rRNA from 1 species